CCCUUAGAGUUUGAUCCUGGCUCAGAAUGAACGUUGGCGGCGUGGAUUAGGCAUGCAAGUCGAGCGAGAACCCAGCAAUGGGGGACAGCGGCGAAAGGGACAGUAAUGUGUAGAUUAUCUGCCCUCAGGUCCGGGAUAGCUGCGGGAAACUGCAGGUAAUACCGGAUAACAUCUCCGGAUCAAAGGUGUGAUUCCGCCUGAGGAUGAGUCUACAUCCUAUUAGCUAGUUGGCAGGGUAAUGGCCUACCAAGGCUUUGAUGGGUAGCGGGUGUGAGAGCACGACCCGCGUCAUUGGGACUGAGACACUGCCCAGACACCUACGGGCGGCUGCAGUCGAGAAUCUUCGGCAAUGGGCGCAAGCCUGACCGAGCGACGCCGCGUGCGGGAUGAAGGCCUUCGGGUUGUAAACCGCUGUCAGAGGGGAUGAAAUGCAGGUGGGUUCUCCCAUCUGUUUGACAUAGCCUCAGAGGAA
rnacentral:rRNA from 1 species